UACGUAGGGGCCUAGCGUUGUCCGGAAUCAUUGGGCGUAAAGAGCUCGUAGGCGGUUCGGCAAGUCACGUGUGAAAUCUCCACGCUUAACGUGGAGGCGCCACGUGAAACUGCCGUGACUCGAGUCCGGUAGGGGAGUGUGGAAUUCCCGGUGUAGCGGUGAAAUGCGCAGAUAUCGGGAGGAACACCAAUUGCGAAGGCAGCUCGCCGGGACGUCACUGACGCUGAGACGCGAAAGCGUGGGGAGCAAACAGG
rnacentral:rRNA from 1 species